UUAAGGGCUGGCAGUGGAAGCGACAGGAGGUGCUGGGGUUCACUGCCUACUGGAGUCCUUCUAAAGAAUUCAAGUGCAUUAAUUUUUCUCAUUGACCAUUUGCAAACUGACAACAUUUGCUUCAGAAGGAAACAUUUACCGGUAGAAAAUGCAAGAAGAUGAGUGUUUGGGUUUUUUUUUUUUCUAUUAUACUGUACUGCACAAAUUUUCAUUAUCCCAUGGAGAGAUGAAAUGGAUAACUGCAAUGAAAAAAGAGAAGAUUACAAAAAGAUGAGUUACUGAAGAAACUUAAGGAUGAGUUAAAGAUGAAUGCUUAAAAGGACAAGGGAAGAAAAAAAAAAAAAGAUGCCUUUCUAAAUGUGAAGGAGAAAAAAUAAAAAAGGAAACAGAAAAACAGUAAUGAACCAUAGAUAACUCAGAAGAAAAAUGAAAAAGUGUGAAGUAAAAGAUUUAAAAGAUAAAAUUUCUAAAUCAGUGAAUUUUGUUCAUCAAAAAUAAUCAAUAUAAAAAUUCUAGCAACAAUAUUUUCUCAACUCCUUAAGAAAAUUUCUGAUUUCUGUUCUAUAUUUGUUAUGGACAAAAAUAGUCAACAUUUUUUUUCAGGAAUUAGUUUUUUGUUUUUUGCUUUUUUGUUUGUUUGUUCUUCUAAGUGAAUGAAUUCCUUAGUAAUUUUUCUGCUCCAUAAAUUCUUCCUUUUUUGAAACAAGCAGAGAUUCUCAAGUUUGUUGAACAGGGAUUAGUAUAUUUAUCUAGUCCUUAUUGUUAGCACCAAAAAAUGUUGACACCGUGGUUUUGUGGGUCCCUCCCUGUCAAUCUCUGCCUAGUUUUAGCCAUCACUGAAAGACACAGUUAUCACUUCAUUUCAAGUUACAAGUCAUUUCAAGUAUGACUGAAACAGUCCAUACCUUGAAAUGAGUGUAAGACUAAUUUGGUUCUAGAGAUUCCCAAAACAGGGUGUGAUAUUCCAAACAAAUGAAAGGAAGACAUUUUUUGCAGAAUGUGUCAAAAUGUGCAUAUAUGGAUACUAAAAGAUCUGUUUCUUCCGUGGAAGAAAUAAUCACUUAAGGACUACUCAAUGUAAACUGUCCAACUCUUCAGAGUCCCUGGAAUUUAAAGUAAAAAUCUUGAGAA